rnacentral:piRNA from 1 species
CAAGUAGGAACUGAAGCAGAAACACCCCG